AGGACGAACGCUGGCGGCGUGCUUAACACAUGCAAGUGGAGCGACGAACCAGGGCUUGCCCUGGGGCAGAGCCGCGAACGGGUGAGUAACACGUGGGUUACCUGCCUCGAUGACCGGGACAACCCGAGGAAACCCGGGCUAAUACCGGAUGUGCCCGCAAGGGGAAAGGAAGCUUCGGCCUCCGCAUCGAAAUGGGCCCGCGGCCCAUUAGCUUGUUGGUGAGGUAACGGCUCACCAAGGCUCCGAUGGUAGCUGGUCUGAGAGGACGAUCAGCCACACUGGGACUGAGACACGGCCCAGACUCCUACGGGAGGCAGCAGUGGGGAAUCUUGCGCAAUGCGCGAAAGCGUGACGCAGCAACGCCGCGUGGGGGAAGAAGGCUUUCGGGUUGUAAACCCCUUUCAGUUGGGACGAAGCUUCGCCGGUGAACAGCCGGCCGGAGUGACGGUACCUUCACAAGAAGCACCGGCUAACUACGUGCCAGCAGCCGC
rnacentral:rRNA from 1 species